GAUCCUGGUGGAGCGUCUUUCUGAGUUUUCCCUGCUUGGAAGCGGAGCCGGGCGGAGCAGCGACGCUCAGAGGUCCGGUGAAGACGGCCGGAUUUUUCUGGACCACGCGGUUCUGAGUUUCAACUUCCCCCAGGAAUUCUACGCUUCUCCAUCAGGUCCACAGGUGUCGGAACGGCCGCCUCUUCUUUGGAACAGACGGGCUCUUUCCUUUCUCGCGAGCUAAGAUCAUUAAGGAGAAGACCCGUUGGUGUUCGCGCCCCCCCCCCUAGGAAACAGACGGCGGGAUCUCCUUUCUGCUUCCUUUCUCGCCGCUGCUGAGUGUCAAAAGUAGAACCGAAAUAAAGUCUACUUAAGGAA